CGCGCGGUAGACAACCUCGCGGAAAGCUCAGCGGCGCGGCAGCCGCGCUUGUGUGUGGUCUGUCUCGGUCCCGUUCUGGCGGCGCGCGCAGCCCCGAGGGGCACCCCCCCCCGGUUCCAGGGUGGCACCCCCUGCGCCAACCCCGCACGCCGCGUCCGCCACCCGUCGUUCUGCCCUGGCCUGUCCCAACCCCCCCAGUCCGCAAAUGGUGCCUCCGGCUAGGGCGGGCCGAGCCCGCACACCCUCCCCGUUGAGCUGAAGCGCCUGCUCCCGACCUCGGUGGGAGAGACCUGGCCGUUGACCUUUGAGCCCCGCCCUCCCCUUCCCUAAGCCAAGGUCACUGACGUUCGCAGCGGUCGUGGAGGAGGGGGGGGGGUGUCGAUGAGGUCACGCAGGGAGAGUAGGCUGCGGGGAAUGUGGGGACACGAGGCUCCCGCGCCAGCGGAACCCCGUCUUCCCCAGCAGGCCACUCCCGCCAUCCUGCACCCCCAGUCCAGUGGCACCAGACCCUUCCCCGGGACUCGGGACUCGCCACUCUGCUUUCCACCUCCCAGCCUUUGCUCCUCUCAGGCUCUCUGCCUGAAAAGGGGUUUCCAUCCUUCUUGCCCCAUCCGCCUGUCCGUCCUCACUGAUGGAAUCCCCGGGCACAGCAUAGUGUAGGUCCUGUAGCGCACACUCAGUGCAUAUCUGUUCUCUGGGGUGCAUGAGUAUGGAACUCCUGACCCCAGCAUGCUCCCCAGGAUUUAGAGGCUGGUUAAUGGCACGUCUCCCCAGGAGGCCUCCCCAGCACUCAGCCGUCACCAUCUGGAAGAAGACGUAGCCUGCCUGCGGUGGCUUUCCUGAACCAGAACUGCCAGGUGCAGGACCGGGAUGGGCCUGGCGUUCCCAUCUCAGGUGGGAGUAGGUGGCGCUAGUUAGUGCAAGGCACUUUGAAAAUGGCAUGAAGCGCCUACGCUGGCAGUGGGCAGUCAGUGAGCGCUAUAGACAUCGAAAUGCCGGAAAACCAGGCCUCCCCUGCCAACAAACUAUAAAGCCACGCCCCUUUCCUACCCAUCUCCCCCGGGGGCAAAAAAGGAUAAAGAUGGGCAGUCCUUGUCCUUACAGCCCAAGGUCAGGUGGACAGGCACUCAAGAGUCAGACAGGACUGGCAUUUUAAUGCCCAAAGUGUAGGAGUAUGCUUACCUUCGUGCUAGUAGCUGACAUUGGGUUGAGCCUUGGAGGGGCAGGGAGGCAGGCUCCACAGAGGGGCAGACGAAAAUCAAAGCUGGUCCCUGGUGGUGCUGUGGGGUCCCAGCUGCCCCAAGACAGGGCCGAGCAGGAGGCAGUGACCCAUGGAUGGACACGAGUGUCUGUUUGCAGGACUUGGAAGGACACUGGAUUGAGAGGGGAGAGAAGCCCCCUCCUGCCUCUAUUGUGUGAGGCUCCAGGUGUGAAGAAAGGUAGCAGUACUGCUCACCUACCCUUGAGAUUACUCGCCCCUGCCUGACCCAGCCAAGUGAGGUGGGAGGAAGAAGCCAAAAAUAGGGUCUCCCCAGAGCACCCGGGGCCUGUAUUGAGGGCUUCUGGGUACCAUCUGUGACACUGUGAAGCCCAGUGAAUUUUAGAGAAGUUUAUUUUUCAACAAUAACUUACUGGGUUUUCCACUUAUCUAAAAACUGUGUAGUCAUUUCAAGUUUAUAAAAAUAUUAAUAAGUAUAUAAACAAACAUAAAAGUAUGGUACCCCAGCAGCUUGCCAUGAACACCCUGAUGCCAAAUCUGUGGCCGUCAUCCUGACCUGCAUUUCAUCAUGCCAGUUUGUUUUCAUACUGUGACUCUUUUUGCCUUUUUCUUUCUUUUGGGGGAGUUCCUUUUUCCUCUUCCUGCGCUCCCCAUAAAUUGUACACAACCUUCCACAGUCUCUCCAUCUUUACACAAGUGACGAGAGUCGAGAGAAGCAGGGGCAGAUGUCCUGCAGCACAAACGCCCCAGCUAGGGGUGUUAGAGAACCAGGCUGGCGGCUGGCUGACACUGAUUGGCUGUGGCAAGGGCUAAGGUGUGAGCCCAGGAGAAGAGCUUGAGAGCCCUGGGGUUACUGGAAAACAGCACUUGCUAGCCUCCCUUGAAGCUAGAGCUGGGCCUUCAGGGGUGAAGUCUUUAACGUGAAGGUGGCCCCUUGAUCCUUCUGCUGCUUUCUCCCUGCCAAGCACCGUGGGCAAUGGAAUGGAAAGAAAGCCUGGACUGCCACACUCAGGCUUGUUUUACACAACAGAAAACAUUUACCUUCCUUAGGCACUGUUGUUUGAGGGGAUUUCUGUAUGUGAAGCUGAACUCAAGCAUAAUGACUUCACAUUCCAAGAGAGGCUGGAUUGCUGGGUCAGCAUGACUGCAAAUAUAUAUUUUUUGUAAACCUUUAAAGUGAUGAGGUUUUAAUUUUAAAUUUAACUUUUUAACUUUCUUUCACCGUAUUAAAGUGAAGUGACGUGGCCAA